CAGGAGGACCCUCAGCGUGACGCAGCAGGAUGGAAUGACCCACGUGGAGGGCUAGAGGCUAAGGUGCCAUAAGAUGCCUGGAAGUGUGAAGCCACACACUGAGGAGGAGACUGAAAAGGGGCCAUGAGGGCAGCCUUUGGAGCAUUUGCAGUGAGCCUGGCUGGUAGCGACGAGGGUGUCAGGGCCGGUGCAUUCGAAGAAGCACCACAGUUAUUUUCUGUCUUUGAAUCUCCGGCGCCUAAGGGAUGACGACAGCCGUGUCGGACUCCGGAAGGAGCAGGGUUGCCGACCCCCAGGAAGAACACGGCACCCAAAGAAAGGCCU